UCUACUGUGAACUUCAUUUUAUUGUUUGAAAUUCAAAAAACACAAUCGGCCAUGUUUGUUAGUGAUGAUGACGUUUUCGUUGUAUGACGAUUCUGCUAGGUGUAAACGGGAACUUACCCUCCUCCAGUUAGUAUUGGGACAAAUUAUCCCGAUAUCGCAUAAUUAGAAUAAAAUCAUAGUAGUGGGUUUCCAAAUACAGCAACCUCCACGUGACACGCCAACGUUACAAAAGGAUAUAAAUGUGGGUAGAUGAAAAGUUUCAUAUUUUAUCGAUACCAGUCGCUGAAGUGACACAUGCUUCGAGCAAAUGGUGACGAACUGUCUUAAGAGAUAGGAAGAAGACGAAAAAAAUGACUUGAAGCCGUUCUUUCUGUCGGGGUUUUAAACGAAUGUUGCUGUUCCACGAGUUUACGAAGACUUCGGAGAACGAUUCUUUACCAAUUACAAGAAACCAGUGAGCAAGACGAAAACAUAGAGGGAGGGAAAGAAAAAGAGAUAGGGAAGUUAUUUGGAAGAGACAACAAAGAAUCGUCGUCAACUUGGCGAAUGUUUCGUAGCUUCGCCGAUGUAAAACUACAAAAUUUCUCACGUCUUGCGAUAUACGAAGGAACUUUCUUCUUUCUUCAAGAUAAUCCCUUUGAAGAAAAAAAGAAGUAGAAAAGACGGGAAAAAAAUUUUUUCUCUUCGUUGAUAUCAAGCGCAGCUUUAAAGGUAAAACUAAAAAUAUCAAAUUUGAGCUUUAAAAAUUAUUCGAAAAAAUAAUAGUAAAUUAUUACACGUGAAAAUUAAUGUUAGCAAUUACGAAAUCAUAUUAUUCAGACUUAAUAUUAAAAACUUGCCAAUUUAAGGAAUAUAAACAGAAAUGUACAAGAAACGCUGUAAAAAUUUCCACAUAAAGAAAAAAGAAAAUUAUUAUUUAAAGUAAAUUCCAGAAAUGUCAGGGUGAUAAAAAAGGGAUAAUCUUUAUAAAUAGAUUUUAUGUACUAUUAGAAGAAAAUUAAUCAGACACUGAAAUUGGUCUACAAGGAAAACAUCAAAAUAAGUUAACACAAAUCUGGGACAAAACUAGCAACAACCAUAAACAGGUUACUUCUACUAGUAUUGCAUAAUAAUAUAAAAAUGUCAAGCUGAGAGAUGUUAAACUCUCUAAUUAAAGAGAAUAAAAUAUUAUCUGAGAGAAACUGAGAUCUUUGCAACACAAAGGGAAUUCAUUACACAGGUACAUUUUUAAAAUAUGUGUUAGAUGUCACACUUUUUCAUAGAAGUAUGAUACCUUUGUAAUUAAAGCUUUUCAUAAAGAAACAGAAUCAAAUCUUAUAAUGUAAUUAAAGAGCUGAAAAAACGAGGAUUUAAAUCCAGCGACAAGAACCUUAUGAAAAUAUAAUCAGAGUCUUGUUUAUAAACACAAUGUCAAUAGAAGUACAACUUGAUCAAGUCAGAAAAAAGAUGAGAACCUUUUCUACUUAUGCUAUGUUUCUUGGAAAAUCUCUUAGAAAAACUAUAUUACACAACGACGAAUCUCUCAAUGCUACAAAUAUAAAAAACAGAGGCGAGUGACAAAAUAAAUAAUAUAAAAAUAUGUUUACUACGAAUAUCAAAAUAAAAUGAAGUAGAAAGGUUAAAAUGAUACGUAUGGAUUCAAAUAUACAAAUAGAUUGUAUAUUAAUAUUUAUUUACAAAGGACAAUAUAAAAUUGUAGCAAUAACAGGAAUAUAUAACCUCAACAAUGAGAAUAGCGCCCCUACAAAGAAACAGUAAUAAGGGAAAUUAUAAAUUCAAACAAUAAUAAUAUCAACGAUUUAAUAAUUCGGGUAGGUAAAAAAUGAAAAAUGGAUGCAAUUAAGGAAAGUACUACUACCAAAAAACGAAAACGAAUAGAAAAGCACAUUAAUACAAGCAUAAUAAUGAGAUUAAAAUACAAAUCAAUAUUGAAAUAGUCCAUUGAAAUACAAUUCGCAUUAAUUUAUUCUCCGUUUAAUUUUACAACAAAAUUUGUUUUCAGUAAUAGGGAGUAAUAACCAAACGAGGUUUUUUCCUUUCAUAUAGCUAAUAAGUGAUGCGAAGUUCGAAAUAAAAAUGAUACUUUAUCGUCAGUGACAAUGUGUCAUGAGCACCAAUGUAAAAUGCUGUUUAAAACAAAAAUAUCUAUGGAAUAUAAUAUAGUGCAGGAAAACUCAUUAAAUUUAUGAUAUAAAAGACUAGAUCCUAUAAAUAAAUAUCAUCAAGAAUAUCAGUAAAUUAAAUAUGGUAAAUGGAAUGACAAAUAAGGAAAAGACUGAAUUUUUCUGUAGAGCUUGUAUUUGGGAAAGCAAUCAAAAGAUAGCAUUAAGCACAAUGGAUAAAGCAGAAAAAUCGAAAGUGAUGAUUCACUUUGAUAUAUGUGGUUCGAUUAAUGUAAAAACUAUGGAUCAUGCACGUUAUUUCUUAUUAUUUAAUACUGUUCAUCACUCUUGAUUCUAUAAUGAUUUAUGCCAACAAUGAGAACAGGUGUAAUUCUUAACCUAUUUUGAUGAACAUGGUCUCAUUUUAAAAAUGAAGGUUUAAUCUAGGAUCCUUUUUUUUA